AGCAGCUCCCAUGGCAAGCCCUAACUGCCUCCUCCCCACACUCGCCGCCCCGCCCGCGUCCUCGCGUCCCAGCCCCCUCCUUCCUCUCCUCACGCGGUCGCGCCUCCCUCCGAACCCUCGAUCCGCGCCCGCCUCCCUGCCCCACGCCGCCAUCAUCUCCGCCGGCGCCCGACUCCUCCGCCGCCUCCUCUCCACCGCCACCGCGAAGGACCUGUAGAAAGCGGCACGCCCUGUAGGGAAGCGGGCGGCGCGCGCCGUCGCCCCAGGAUGCGCGCGGACAACUCUCUCGCGUUGACGCCCCCGCUCCCUCCCCUUCUCCUCGUCGCCUCCCCUCGCGCCGCCGUCGCCGUCCGAGAAGCACCGCGGCCACUACUACUCUGCGUCGUGCCGAGCUUGCCACCGCCGCCGCUCUCCCGGUCGAGCUCGUCCCUCACCACCGGCCCUCAAGUUGUGGAGGGGCAACAGGCAGCGGUGGACAAGGAGAUCUACCACCAACCGCCGCCGCCUGUCCUCCUGCUUCGCCAUCAACGCGAGGAGCACCGGAGCGUGUCCUCAAGUUUGUGCUCCUCCGGGAAGAGGACAACCCGAGAUCUGUCAUGGAGGUCAACCCUGACGUCGGCCUUGUCGGAUUGGAGCGGCAGUGCGGUGGCUGGUCUACUGUGGCGGCUCGCUGGAGGCAGCAGCGACCCAAUCGGCACCGCCAUCUCCUUCCCUAUCCAUGAGACUGGUUCCUGAUGGUGCAGCCAACCUCUGUCUUCCUCCCCGACGGCGGCGUCGAACCAACACUGGGUUAUGCUACCCUUGGCCGUGGCCUAACACGCGCGGACUGAAGCGUUGGUCAGGCACCCACUGCUUGGCUGCACGUCUGGGUCAUCUCAGAUAAGCUAAUCUAUCUCUUCUUUAAAAUAAGAUCAUGUGCUUCUCUGAUCCGGUUGUAGUAAGUUGUACAAGGCCUUAGCUGGUUGUCAGGAGGAACCUUCACCUCAUGGCUAAAACUUGGGUAAAACCGUGGGCAUACAAAAUACAUCUUUGUUUUUUUUGCCUUAUAAACAUGGCCGUGAAAGAACCGAAUAUUGGAAAACAACUGUAUAUCAAUUCUCACUUACUCUGAUAUUUCUGAAAGUGAAAGGGAUGAAGGAUAGUGUAGUGAGCAGAGAACACACAGGUUAUGUUGAAAAUUUUGGUCGAAGUUACAGUCCAUUAGCUGGCAGAAAUAUAACACAACUAGCAUGCCUAGAUGCACACAACGUUGAUGGUAAUAAGAUAUGCUUGACAACUAACUAACAAAAUCAGAUUAUUCAUUUCAUAAAUGUAGAAAAAAAUAAGUAUGGUCUUCACAACGUGUCUUCUUCUAUGAUUCGGUAACUUGCAUUCCAAUCUUAUUUGUCUUCUUUUCAUUGGGCAUGGUGUAUUUAGGUUAUCAAAGGGGAUUGUGUAUGGCUGUUGACAAUCCAGAUUGUGGGCAGCUAAGAGAUCAUAUUCUGGACUCACAACAAAUUGGAUAGAGCAUCCUGCAAGGUCUGUGAGGUGCAGAUGAUAUUUCAGUGCUCAGUGUGCAGCUUAUUUUGUAGACAUCGCGGUUUCAGUUUGCAAUAUUAGACCUACUUGUAUCAAGAGGGGAAAACUUCUCUGUUCUGUCCACUGCCUACAUACAAGCUGCAUGACAAAGGGUAUGUGGAAGACUGGAUUUGAUAUUAUCAUGGAAUUAUAGCUAUUAGCGUGUUCCUGGCUCUCGUUUGCUGUUAUUCCUUCAUAAUUGCAACAAAGGAUGCAAAUCAAUAUCUUGCUCUGGCUAUGCUGUGCAGUGGCCUAAGCGUUGGACCACCGGGUGGAUAGGGCAAGCGUGUGAUGUGCCAGGGCGUAAUCUGUGUCGCUGCUCCGCAUAGAGGAGCACACCAUCGAGAUGGCCCAAAAUGGAAACACCGUAGGCCACAACUCUGGUGGGGGCCUCCAUGGUUGCUGACGACCAGAUGCCACCAUGGUCUCCGAUGUCGUCAUGGCCCUUGCCGCCAGCCCACAACACAGUGCCGAGCAGGGGGUGUGGCCGGCGGUGGUCAUUGAUAUCUUCAGCAGCGUCGGGUGUUGGCCACUUGCGCUGGUGGCUUUCUCCCGCUUUUGGUAUGACUGAUUAACAGAAAAAAAAUCGUGGCCAUUGGUCACCGCUUUUCAUCAAGAUGAUUCUGUAUCAUUGUAAUAGUGAGACUUUACUACACCCAUUCUGUCGGUAGAACAUUCUCUUAGGAGAUUGUUUUAUUUGUUUUGGUUGAGAUAUACUAAAGGCUGUGUACCUAUGGAAAGAAAAAAUACACUUUCAAGUUUUGUAUGUAGUACUUGAUGUAUGUCUCAAGUAUAACUUAUAAUGAUCCUACUCUUAGUACUUGCUCUCUCAUGUUUAUGCUCUUAGUACUGAAUUUAGUGUCAGGUAAUUAGCUUUUGUGAUCUCAUGAACAGACUGAACUUGAUGCGGCCUUAUAAUCCCAUGACCAUGUUGAAAUUGAUGAUGUCUUGCUUCUCAUACCAGUGAAUGUUUCUUCGUUCUCUUGGACCAGGCACCCCGCGCCAAGGCGCGCUGUCGAUCUAGUAUGUGUUAUCGUGCGUAUCUUCAAUGACUUCUCCCUCAUCUUACUUGAGGUUGCAUACUCUGUCGCGGAGGACAUUAACCAGUUGCGUCCCUCCUUUGCAUACAUGCAGCUGCGUGUCUUUUUGGAUGUAAUCUGGUUGUAAUUUCUUUUUUUCUCCGCUUUCAUCUUAUAAAUAACAUUUGUUCUUCUUUUCCUAUAUUUUUAUCCUAAAAAAUUAAAGGUCAAGCUUGAAUUAAUAAGUCAAAGUCAGAGCUGAUAAGCAAACAACUAUUGGAGGGAGUAUUAUUAUUAUUAUUAAACAAGAGUGGAAAGGAACGGGAACGUGUUACA